rnacentral:rRNA from 1 species
UACGGAGGGGGCUAGCGUUGUUCGGAAUUACUGGGCGUAAAGCGCACGUAGGCGGCUUUGCAAGUUAGAGGUGAAAGCCCGGGGCUCAACUCCGGAAUUGCCUUUAAAACUGCAUCGCUAGGAUUGUGGAGAGGUAAGUGGAAUUCCGAGUGUAGAGGUGAAAUUCGUAGAUAUUCGGAAGAACACCAGUGGCGAAGGCGACUUACUGGACACAUAUUGACGCUGAGGUGCGAAAGCGUGGGGAGCAACAGG